AAGCUCUCUGGGCAGACGCACAGGGCCUCCAGGAAAAUGCUGGGAAUACGUACUGAAUGGACACCUUGCCUUGUACGGAUUCCAGGUGGAGUCUUUCACCACUGAGUACACUGGUAGCUGAGGUUUUUAAUGGAUGUCCUUUAUCAGGUUGAGGAAAUUAUCUUCUACUCUUAGUUGACUAAGAAUUUUAAAUACCAGUUGAAUUUGUCAAAUAAUUUCCUGCAUCUAUUGAGAUAUAUAGUUUUCUCUUUCAUCUCCUAAUAUGAUGAAGUACAUUGAUUGACAUUAAAAGUUAGACCAACCUGUGUCCUUGAGAAAAAUCCCACUUGGUCAUGACUGUAUCAUUCUUUUAUAUAGUACUGAGCUUGACUUAGUAAUAUUUUGUUUGGAUUGUUGUGUCUAUGUUCUUGAGAGAUACCAGUCUGUAACUUCAAAUUUUGUAGUGUCUGUGUCUGGUUUUGGUAUCAAGGUGAGUUGAGAAGUUAUCAAAUAAGUUGGGUAUCAAUUGAGUUUGGUAUCAAAUGAGAAGUGUUCUUCCCUCCUAGAUUUUCUAAAAAAUAUGUAGCUCUUUCUAAAAGAGGUUGUACAAAGUUGGUAUCAUUCCUUUCUUAAACAUUUGGUAGAAUUCAUCCGUGAAGCAAUCUGACACAGCUGUUCUGAGGAAGGUUUUUAAUUACAAAUUAAGUGUAACAGAUAUAAGGCUGUAUAUGUUUUCUAUUAUUCUUGUGUCAGUUCUGGUAAUUUGUCUUUCAGGGUAUCCAUUUCCCCUAAGUUGUCAGAUACAUUGGCCUAAAAUUGCUCAUAGGUGUUCUCUUGUCCUUUAAGUACUGGCAGGAUCUUUAAUGUUUAAAGGACUCCACUGUAAACACGAGGUAGGAUCUCCUUUUCUAUUUUGAUCUUGCUAAUUUCU
rnacentral:lncRNA from 10 species